rnacentral:lncRNA from 1 species
GGACAAGUCUUCCAAAAUAUUUGGCGUGGCAAAGGAAAUUUAAUACCUAAUAAGUUAUGCAAAUGUUACUUGGUUGACUGCGCUGAUGUGAGUGGAUGUUUCCCCGUCUGUUUACCCAGUUGCAUAUAAAUUAAUUCAAUUAGUUUACCAAGCAUCGUUGGUCAGUGAAAACUCAUGGAUGGAACUAUACUUUAGGCUACAAGUAUUAAAUUUAUGUACUACGUAUAAAUGUGCUUGAAAGUGCGUUAAUAAAGUGGAA